GUGUGUGUUCUACGUCGAUCAGAAGCUCCCAAAGGAGCCAAACCCUAGCUCAAGCUUAUUUGCUCAAAUUGAAAGGGGAAUUCAACCCAAAUCUAAUGCAUGUACCCGAAUUCUUAGUCAUCUAGCCCUAAAGAUCACUUGAUUUCAAGGAUAUUGAGACUAUGUGGUUGACCAAUCAUGUCGUAUGCGUAAUAGGAACCACACUAGCAUGGACCAAGCAUGGAAGGCUAACGGGUCAAGAUGAGGCAAGCAAGCGGGUAUGA
rnacentral:lncRNA from 1 species